rnacentral:rRNA from 1 species
GUCCUACGGGGGGCAGCAGUGGGGAAUAUUGCACAAUGGGGGAAACCCUGAUGCAGCGACGCCGCGUGAGUGAAGAAGUAUUUCGGUAUGUAAAGCUCUAUCAGCAGGGAAGAAAAUGACGGUACCUGACUAAGAAGCCCCGGCUAACUACGUGCCAGCAGCCGCGGUAAUACGUAGGGGGCAAGCGUUAUCCGGAUUUACUGGGUGUAAAGGGAGCGUAGGCGGCAAGGUAAGUCAGAUGUGAAAGCCCGGGGCUCAACCCCGGUACUGCAUUUGAAACUGUCCAGCUGGAGUGCAGGAGAGGG